rnacentral:rRNA from 1 species
GAUGAACGCUGGCGGCGUGCCUAAUACAUGCAAGUCGAGCGAACAGACGAGGAGCGUGCUCCUUUGACGUUAGCGGCGGACGGGUGAGUAACACGUAGGUAACCGACCUAUAAGACUGGGGUAACUUCGGGAAACCGGAGCUAAUACCGGAUAAUAUUUCGAACCGGAUGGUUCGAUAGUGAAAGAUGGCUUUGCUAUCACUUAUAGAUGGACCUGCGCCGUAUUAGCUAGUUGGUAAGGUAACGGCUUACCAAGGCAACGAUACGUAGCUGACCUGAGAGGGUGAUCGGCCACACUGGAACUGAGACACGGUCCAGACUCCUACGGGAGGCAGCAGUAGGGAAUCUUCCGCAAUGGGCGAAAGCCUGACCGAGCAACGCCGCGUGAGUGAUGAAGGUCUUCGGAUCGUAAAGCUCUGUUAUUAGGGAAGAACAAACGUGUAAUUAACUGUGCACGUCUUGACGGUACCUAAUCAGAAAGCCACGGCUAACUUCGUG